rnacentral:rRNA from 1 species
GCUAGCGUUGUUCGGACUUACUGGGCGUAAAGCGCGUGUAGGCGGUUGCCCAAGUCGGGUGUGAAAGCCUUGAGCUCAACUCAAGAAAUGCACUCGGUACUGGGUGACUAGAGGACCGGAGAGGAUAGUGGAAUUCCCAGUGUAGUGGUGAAAUACGUAGAGAUUGGGAAGAACACCAGUGGCGAAGGCGGCUAUCUGGACGGUUUCUGACGCUAAGACGCGAAAGCGUGGGGAGCAAACAGG